GGGUUGUGAGGUUAAGCGACUAAGCGUACACGGUGGAUGCCCUGGCAGUCAGAGGCGAUGAAGGGCGUGCUAAUCUGCGAUAAGCGCCGGUAAGGUGAUAUGAACCGUUAUAACCGGCGAUACCCGAAUGGGGAAACCCAGUGUGACUCGUCACACUAUCAUUAACUGAAUCCAUAGGUUAAUGAGGCGAACCGGGGGAACUGAAACAUCUAAGUACCCCGAGGAAAAGAAAUCAACCGAGAUUCCCCCAGUAGCGGCGAGCGAACGGGGAGGAGCCCAGAGCCUGAAUCAGCAUGUGUGUUAGUGGAAGCGUCUGGAAAGGCGCGCGAUACAGGGUGACAGCCCCGUACACAAAAGCGCAUGUGCUGUGAGCUCGAUGAGUAGGGCGGGACACGUGGUAUCCUGUCUGAAUAUGGGGGGACCAUCCUCCAAGGCUAAAUACUCCUGACUGACCGAUAGUGAACCAGUACCGUGAGGGAAAGGCGAAAAGAACCCCGGCGAGGGGAGUGAAAAAGAACCUGAAACCGUGUACGUACAAGCAGUGGGAGCACCCUUUGGGUGUGACUGCGUACCUUUUGUAUAAUGGGUCAGCGACUUAUAUUCUGUAGCAAGGUUAACCGAAUAGGGGAGCCGGAGGGAAACCGAGUCUUAAUUGGGCGUUAAGUUGCAGGGUAUAGACCCGAAACCCGGUGAUCUA
rnacentral:rRNA from 1 species